AGUGAACGCUGGCGGCAGGCCUAACACAUGCAAGUCGAACGGCAGCACCAUAGAGCUUGCUCUCUGGGUUGCGAGUGGCGGCCGGGUGAGGAAUGCAUCGGAAUCUGCCCAUUUGUGUGGGAUAACCACGGGAAACCGGGACUAAUACCGCAUACGACCUACGGGUGAAAGCAGGGGAUCUUCGUACCUUGCGCAGAUGGAUGAGCCGAUGCCGGAUUUGCUAGUUGGAGGGGUAUAGGCCGACCAAGGCGACGAUCCGUAGCUGGUCUGAGAGGAUGAUCAGCCACACGGGGACUGAGACACGGCCCAGACUCCUACAGGAGGCAGCAGUGGGGAAUGGUGGACGAUGGGCGCAAGCCUGAUCCAGCCGUGCCGCGUGUGUGAAGAAGGCCUUCGGGUUGGAAAGCACUUUUGUUGGGAAAGAAAAGCAGCCGGUUAAUACCCGGUUGUCAUGACGGUACCCAAAGAAUAAGCACCGGCUAACUUCGUG
rnacentral:rRNA from 1 species